rnacentral:lncRNA from 1 species
CGCCUAAUUCCGUUUUGAUCCGGUUUAACGUUUCUACCAUGGAUGAUGAUAACACAAUGAAAAUAAGAAAAGGAGAGAGAACUAAUAUGAAAUUCAAUGGAACGAACAACGAGACAACUACAUUCGGAAGCAAACCAACCAUCAUUACUCCGAAAACAACAAAGUUUGAACCAAAUAUGUCGUCCUCAAAUAGUUCAAUAUUUCUCAUUCCUAUAGCAUCGGACACGAAUCAACAAAAUAAUUCGGCAAAUAAAUCGUCUUUAUUAAAAGUUGUACUCUUAGUACAACCUAGUACUGAAUGAAUAAAUUAAAAUAAUGCAAACGUCUCUCAUUUUGAACUAAUAAUAAAUUUAUCA